AAACAAAGCUAGACUUCUGGUUAUCACUGGCAGAGUGGUCUUCAUGGAUCCUCCUGGGUCAGGUACAUAAGAAGGUACCAGAUGUGGCCACAGAGCAACUCAUCCAGUACGAAGUCUGGAGGAGCUCUGGAGGUAUUCGCAAAAAUGCUUCCUUCUGUUUGUCCCAGAUGGCACAGAAAGUUUCUUAGUCAGACCCGAGUUUAAUGUCUACGCCAAGACGAUGACUAACAUGGAAAGAAGCUGCAAGUGGUCAAAAUGUAGAGAAUAAGAGACUGAGAGUGCAUGUCCCCGGAUAGGACUCCUAUUAAACCUCAGCUACCCAGGGUGCAGGGUCCAUUCUGGAAGAUGGAGGUGGGAAGACCGUAAGAGCCAGGGAUGGCGGAUGACUAUAAGGAAGCAGAAUUUUCUGGGUGACUGGGAACUUGCUCAUAUGAAAUUACAGCAAUGGUGACAGCGUGCACAAGACCCUCGCAAACUCAAUCAGACAAAACCCAGCACAGACGUGGAAACAUGGGAAAGAAGCUCCAACCUUAGCUGAGGAAGACGAGUUGUUCUUCUUUAAGGAGUGAUGUUUGAUAGGCUAACCAGGCUCCAGUGGAUGGACUCACACUCAGGGACAUAUGAGGACAUACACUUGACUCAAUAGGCUUUAACAUAUA